GACGAGCCUCACAAACGUUAUUCGGAAUUACUGGGCUUAAAGGGUGCGUAGGCGGCGCGGUAAGUUGGGUGUGAAAUCCCUCGGCUCAACCGAGGAACUGCGCCCAAAACUACCGUGCUCGAGGAAGAUAGAGGUGAGCGGAACUUACGGUGGAGCGGUGAAAUGCGUUGAUAUCGUAAGGAACACCCGUGGCGAAAGCGGCUCACUGGGUCUUCUCUGACGCUGAUGCACGAAAGCUAGGGGAGCAAACGGG
rnacentral:rRNA from 1 species